AACAGAUGCAAGAAGAAGAAAGAAACAGACCCAAGAAGAAAAAAGAAACAGACCCAAGAAGAAGAAAGAAACAGACCCAAGAAGAAGAAAGAAACAGACCCAAGAAGAAGAAAGUAACAGACCCAAGAAGAAGAAAGUAACAGACCCAAGAAGUAGAAAGAAACAGACCCAAGAAGAAAAACACACCCAAGAAGAAGAAACAGACCCACGAAGAAGAAACAGAUGUAAGAAGACGAAACAGACCCAAGAAGAAGAAACGGACUCAAGAAGAAAAAGAAACAGACCCAAGAAGAAGAAAGUAACAGACCCAAGAAGAAGAAACACACCCAAGAAGAAGAAACAGACCCAAGAAAAGAAGAAAGAGACCCAAGAAAAGAAGAAACAGACCAAAGAAGAAAAA